GCCUGGGUGGCUCAGUUGGUUGAGCAUCUGACUUCAGCUCAGGUCAUGAUCUCACAGUUUGUGAGUUCGAGCCCCGUGUCGGGCU
rnacentral:tRNA from 1 species